rnacentral:misc_RNA from 1 species
GAUGAAGAACGUAGCGAAAUGCGAUAAGUAAUGUGAAUUGCAGAAUUCAGUGAAUCAUCGAAUCUUUGAACGCACAUUGCGCCCGCCAGUAUUCUGGCGGGCAUGCCUGUCUGAGCGUCAUUUCAACCCUCAUGCCCCUAGGGCGUGGUGUUGGGGAUCGGCCAAAGCCCGCGAGGGACGGCCGGCCCCUAAAUCUAGUGGCGGACCCGUCGUGGCCUCCUCUGCGAAGUAGUGAUAUUCCGCAUCGGAGAGCGACGAGCCCCUGCCGUUAAACCCCCAACUUUCCAAGGUUGACCUCAGAUCAGGUAGGAAUACCCGCUGAACUUAAGCAUAGCAAUAAGCGGAGGA